AGUGGCGAACGGGUGAGUAAUACAUAAGCAACCUACCCACGAAGACUGGGAUAAUCUCUGGAAACGGGGACUAAUACCGGAUAGGUAAUCGGAAGGCAUCUUCUGGUUAUUAAAGGUUAAAAACACUGGUGGAUGGGCUUAUGGCGCAUUAGUUAGUUGGUGAGGUAACGGCCCACCAAGACGAUGAUGUGUAGCCGGCCUGAGAGGGUGAACGGCCACAUUGGGACUGAGACACGGCCCAG
rnacentral:rRNA from 1 species